GGCGAGUGAAGCGGCAACAGCUCAAAUUUGAAAUCUGGCGCAAGCCCGAGUUGUAAUUUGCAGAGGAUGCUUUUGGUGCGGUGCCUUCUGAGUUCCCUGGAACGGGACGCCGGAGAGGGUGAGAGCCCCGUACAGUUGGACACCAAGCCUUUGUAAAGCUCCUUCGACGAGUCGAGUAGUUUGGGAAUGCUGCUCAAAAUGGGAGGUAAAUGCCUUCUAAAGCUAAAUACCGGCCAGAGACCGAUAGCGCACAAGUAGAGUGAUCGAAAGAUGAAAAGCACUUUGAAAAGAGGGUUAAAAAGUACGUGAAAUUGUUGAAAGGGAAGCGCUCGUGACCAGACUUGCGCCCGGCGGAUCAUCCGGCCUUCUGGCCGGUGCACUCCGCCAGGCUCAGGCCAGCAUCGGUUCUUCCGGGGGGACAAAAGCGGUGGGAACGUAGCUCCUCCGGGAGUGUUAUAGCCCGCCGCAGAAUACCCCCGGGGGGACCGAGGACCGCGCUUCGGCAAGGAUGCUGGCGUAAUGGUCACCAGCGACCCGUCUUGAAACACGGACCAAGGAGUCAAGCAUUAGGGCGAGUGUUUGGGUGUCAAACCCGCACGCGAAAUGAAAGUGAACGCAGGUGAGAGCUUCGGCGCAUCAUCGACCGAUCCUGAUGUUUUCGGAUGGAUUUGAGUAAGAGCCUUGCCGCUUGGACCCGAAAGAUGGUGAACUAUGCUUGGAUAGGGUGAAGCCAGAGGAAACUCUGGUGGAGGCUCGCAGCGGUUCUGACGUGCAAAUCGAUCGUCAAAUCUGAGCAUGGGGGCGAAAGACUAUCGAACAUC
rnacentral:rRNA from 1 species